rnacentral:rRNA from 1 species
UACAGAGGGUGCAAGCGUUAAUCGGAAUUACUGGGCGUAAAGCGUGCGUAGACGGUUAUGUAAGUCAGAUGUGAAAGCCCCGGGCUCAACCUGGGAAUUGCAUUUGAGACUGCAUAGCUAGGGUGCGGAAGAGGGAAGCGGAAUUUCCGGUGUAGCGGUGAAAUGCGUAGAGAUGUGGAGGAACACCGAUGGCGAAGGCAGCCCCCUGGGUUAACACUGACGCUCAGGCACGAAAGCGUGGGGAGCAAACAGG